UACAGAGGUCCCAAGCGUUGUUCGGAUUCACUGGGCGUAAAGGGUGCGUAGGUGGUUAGGUAAGUCCGAUGUGAAAUCUCCAGGCUCAACCUGGAAAUGGCAUUGGAUACUAUUUAGCUUGAGGAGUGGAGGGGGGGACUGGAAUUCUCGGUGUAGCAGUGAAAUGCGUAGAUAUCGAGAGGAACACCAGUGGCGAAGGCGAGUCCCUGGACACUUCCUGACACUGAGGCACGAAAGCUAGGGGGGAGCAAACAGG
rnacentral:rRNA from 1 species